UACAGAGGUCUCGAGCGUUGUUCGGAUUCAUUGGGCGUAAAGGGUGCGUAGGUGGCGCUGUAAGUCAGGUGUGAAAUUUCGGAGCUUAACUCCGAAACUGCAUUUGAUACUGCGGUGCUUGAGGACUGGAGAGGAGACUGGAAUUUACGGUGUAGCAGUGAAAUGCGUAGAGAUCGUAAGGAAGGCCAGUGGCGAAGGCGGGUCUCUGGACAGUUCCUGACACUGAGGCACGAAGGCCAGGGGAGCAAACGGG
rnacentral:rRNA from 1 species